AGACAGGAGUAUGUACCUAUUAUAAAAUAUAAUAAUUUUCUUAAUAAUAACCCUGAAAAUCGUAAGUAUAUAAUAUAGAAACAAUUAAUUUUUAUACAGCGCCCUAAAGGCUGAAGUCAAACAUACAAAAAUUUUGUUUUUUCACAAUACAAGUAUAUUAUAAUAUUAAAAAAAAAUAAUUGCUACGUACAAACGUGUUAUUUUUUUUUCGGCGUGUGAUGCGGUAAUAUGCAAAAGUAAAAAUCAUUAAUCAAAAUUCACAUUUCUGCGUUUAACAAUAUAAUAUUAUUUACCCGAUACAAUUACUCUAUUGUCGCAACGUCUCCGUAAAACAAAUCGCAGAAUAUAACAAAAGAAAUAAAAAAAAAAUCAGCUUUAAAAACUAUUGCCGGUUAUUUGUCGGUUUUGUUGAAUGAAAUCAAUUAAAAUAGCUUAAAAUAGUUAAAUUUAGUGCCUAUAACAUUGAACUCGGCGAUAAAAUCUUUAAUAUGACGUCGUACUAUGUAUAUUAUCAUAGAAAGCUGUGGUGGAUGAAGGAAACGAAAUUUGUAAUUCGAAUUCAAGAGAGUGACAACUAUUUCGUUUCGUCGCCCCCUCAAAUGGGAUGCUGGUAUAAAGGACGCAUAACAGUUAAUUUUAAACGGCUAAAGAUAUAGAAUUUCGGUCUAUAAUGUAAUAUUUAAAAAGAAAUCCAAAUAUAUAUACAUGAAGUAUAGGUAAGUUAAAUUUAACUAUUCCAGAUCAAACAAUUUGAAAACUAUGACUAAAUGGGUAAAUUACUUGUAAUAAAAAAUUAGGUAUUACAUAAUAUUAUGUUUAACAAUUUGACCCUUGAACUCUUAAAAAAAAUUUUAUUUUUAAAAAUUAAAAAAUAAUAGGCAAUAGCACAUUAAUUUUUUUUUUUUAAACGAUUUUAACUUUAAACGCUUAUAACGAAAAAAUAACACGGUACUGAAUUGUUGAUAUGUUUUGGCCUAUGAUUAAUCGACAAGCCUUGUAUAUUUAUAGGGGAGGAAUAAUUCGUAAAGGAAGCAGCUGCAUACUCCUAACUUAACAUAACCCAAUCUGUGUGUAUUAUUUUAUAUUUAUUACUUGUAAGUGCGAAAUAAUAUAAUACCUUGUAGAACAAUAACAAUAGAUAAUAAUAUUAUUAUGUAUGAACACAUUUCCAUUGGCAAAAUCUGUAAAAAUAAAAAAAACAUGUGAGAAACAGAGUUCCGUCACUAGAGUUGAAUUCUCACCCAUUUUCUAUUUUGUAUUGUGUAAAUAUUAUCUGUAAAACUAUAAAUAUUUGAGUACUACAGUUAUAAUAUUUCAAAAAAAAAAAAAAAAAAUUAAAAAUGGUGAAAUUCGAGCAUACAAAUGGAUGGGGUUGAAAGUUGAAACCCUCCAAAAAGGUGGAUUAUCGAUAUGAACGCCAUGCAUAUACAACAUUUCAUCCCCUGUGUGUCGUUUUUGAGGUCUGUAGGGAUAUUCUAAACAAAAAAAGUAUCCGUAUUGAAAUUUAAUCCGACUUUUAUCAUUUCAAACCACCAAUAAAACAACUUCAUAAAUCCCGAUUUUGAGAUCGUAUGGUUCUAAAAAGAGCCACUUAGCGUGUCCAAAAGUAACGGGAGUAAAGAUAAAUUCAUAUUAUAAUGCACAUGUGCAAUAGUUUCAUAUUUUAUCGAGAAAAAUUCAAAAUAAUUUAUCGUCAAUCUAAUUAAGAUAAGUUCAAUAUUAUAUAACACAAUCGAAAUAUUAUUUGUUUGUAAUUUUUUAAGAAAAAAAGACCGAAUUUUCACCACGCUCAGAACGUGCAUUACGAAAAUGCGAAUAAUAUUCUGCAAAAAAAAAAACAGUUAAUUUUUAUUAGAGAAAAAAAAACGUAGUCGAUAACGGAUUUAAAAACGUUUUAUUCCAAAUCCACGAACGUCUGGCGGAUAAAACGUUCUACUAUACGGUUGAUAAUGUUAUUUAUUGUAAUACGGUUGACGUGGUAGUACAUAUAUUUAGAUAAAAACACACUACCCGCGUGACGUAAAUAUCGUCUAAAUCGAAAUAUAUUCACGGCAGACCGUCGUUCAAUUUGUUUAAAAUGACGUCGCCCUUGAUGUUGAUACGAUGAAAGAAAAACCUAUCGAACAACUCACAGGCAAUUUACAAUUUUGAUCGUUAGUUGACGAUGAGUAUCUGUACUCGCCGGAAAUCAAAACUUCUAGCUUCGAGAAAAACACAAGAAUCUACGAGAUUAAUGUAUGACAGAAAAUCGAUUGGCGUGAUCACAGUGGUUUGAUACGCAUGCCCUGCUCAAAUAUUUUGUUUACUCCGUCUAUUAUCGUAGAUAUUCACUUUUUAUUAGCUAACGUUAGCAUUGCUGGUAAUAGUGGAGAACUGCUGAACUAAAACGUGGUACGUUGCGAUCAUGCCAAUCUAUUUUGUCUUGGUAAUUGCAUAUAGCGCGUUUAGUUCAAAUGACGUAACACACAAGAUAUUAUGACCGGUUGGAUUUCCGUGGACAUGCAUUUUUUGUUGUCAGGUGGACCAGAGUACACGUUUUCAGUCAGUUUCCCACACUUGAACCCUUGCGGUGCCUGAUAACGAUGCGCAAUAAACCUCACAUUUUCUUCUUAAAUGGAGAAACUUUGUAUAAUUUUUUGUUGCUGCGGUUUUUCAAAAUAAAAUGAAGAAACGUAUAUUGCGUAAUUCCAUGUUUAUAUCGCCAUAUUAAUAAAUCUCCCCCCCCCCAUAAAAUAGUAGUUGAAUUUUAUCACACUUGAAAGCACAUCUUUUAAUUUUAAUUUUAAAUCAUAUUUGUUCAAUAAACUUUUCUGGUGUGGUUGUAUUUCGGGUAAUUUUUGAUGUGGACAUAUGUUUUGGUACUAUUUAGAAUUAUAUUACACCAAUAUUAUGGUGCUAAAAGUAGGUUAAAAUGUAAGUUUUCUUGAGCAAAGGUUAACGUUUUGAAAAUUGGUUAAAAAUAUUGUAUAGUAUUUUAUUACCGAAAGGUAAUAAAACCUUUUGCGAAAAAUUGUUUUGAAAAUUCUAUUUCAAUCUGUGAUUCCAUCCGGCUAAGAUAUUUUGUGUUGGCAAUCGGGUGAAACAUCACUGUGACACUGUUCACUAUACAGAUUCUUAUUCGUUUUAAUUAGAUCACCGAUUUGUAUGUAUCGGUACAUAUUUUUUUCUUUUUCAUAUAGGCUUUUCGAUUUUCGUCAAUAAUCUUUACGAACUAUACUCAUAUUAGAAGUCAUCUACGAAGCCUUAUUUUGUAUGUUUGACCGUAUAAUUGCAUAUGUCCAUGGUUAUUGCAGAUUACGAUGAAAAUGAUGCAUUAUCACGAACAAAUUGUGUCAAUUGUUACCGGAGUGACAAUACACAAGAGAUUUACCAAGAAAUAAUAAAACACCACGUUUUUAUGAUUAAUGUUAAUUAUAAUAAUAAGGUUACGUUACUUUGUGCCAAAUAUUUGUGUAGUGUUAGAAAACUGUAUGUAUUAAAAUUAGAGCAGUUAGAGUGAGGAGAAAUUUUAAAUCCCUGCAACAUCUUUGUUUUUGUAAAUAUUUUUUUAAAUGAUUUUUCCUGGGCUCUUUGGCAUUUUCAUGUGCUAAAAGUCCCGAAGCUUGAUCAUAAUAAUAAUGUAUAUAUAUAUAUAAAAAAAAAACUAACAAUAUGAAAAAACGAACAUUUAUCGCUCGCGUCGACGACAAACAUUAACGAACAAAUAACUGGUGUAAUAUAACAAUAUGUACAGUGCUCGGACUAAGAACUAUAUUAAAACAUAGGCUUGAAUUUGGGGUCGAGUUGUUCGAUAAUCAAGUCUCGGAAUAUCGAGUAUGGUAAAAAUUGCAUUAAAAAAAGAAAUAAUAAAACCGGUCAAGUGAUGCGAGUUAGACUCAGUGGCGCGUGGAACUGAGAAUUAUGUCUCCUCCGCAAUCGUCUUAAAUCGGCUUAAAAAUACAACUAUUAGUACGUUAUAUUUCAGCCAAGUAAGAAGGAAAAUUUUGAUUUCGAGCCGAAAAAUUAGCUAAAAUACUGUAUGCGAUUUAUUCAUCAUUGAUGUUUACUAAAUUUCCUUCCGUUGAAAGUUCCUGGGCACGCCACUGAUUAGACUCACGCACGUUCUGCAAGUAUACGUAUAUAAUACGUCACACUUUAUUAACUAUAAAAAUAUAGCAAUUAUGGAAUCGUGAUCAGGAACGAUCGCGAAUCAGUGUUGCUAAACUCGCAAAACACAAACACCCAAGUUUGUGUAUGGUUUACCGUAAAAAAAAAAAAAAAAUCAAGAACGUAUAACUAUGACUUAUAACAUACUAUGCACACAUACCCGACUUUUCGAAACCCGAUUUUCAGACACCAUUAGCGUGUUUUAAAAACGUAAGAACCCCUCUCGAGUAUCUAAGUUCGAAAAUGAAAACACUUCGGUACACGCGGUUCAAAGUACGCAGCUGUAUCGACCAUCUUCGGAUUUUAUAUUUUUCGGUUUUAGUCCGACAUUAGAAAAACCGUGGGCACCGCCCG